rnacentral:rRNA from 1 species
AUGUUGAAUUCUUCACAGCAACCUCUUCACGACUACACAGAUCGGUGCCAGCUGGAUGCCAUCGGACAAGCAAUGUCUAUGAAGACCCAGUUCAACAUGAGCAGAGAUAAAUUUAAUUCAAUGAUGGCCUGUUGGGGUCGCUCUCUCCCUAAAGUUCAUAAACUUCCUAAAAGCUGGUAUGAAGCCAAGAAAACCCUACGUGCACUUAAGAUGCCAUACGAGCAGAUACACGCUUGCCCAAACGGAUGUGUCUUAUUUUUGAAAAAGUAUGCGGACGACAAGCACUAUGCCAAGUGCGGCUCCUCUAGGUAUAUCGCGAGAGUCCGUGGUGAUGGUACGAAGAAGCAUACCAAAUUCCCUGCAAAUGUUCUUUGGUAUCUUUCAAUCAUGCCAAGAAUUCAAUGCCUUUACUUG